rnacentral:rRNA from 1 species
CCUAGUUAAUUCUACUAGUAGUUAUAUACUUAUCUCAAAGAUUAAGCUAUAUAUAUCUAAGUAUAAGUAACUAUACUAUAAAACUACGAAUACCUUAUUAAAUUAGUUAUCGUUUAUUUGAUAGUACCUUACUACUUGGAUAACCGUAGUAAUUCUAGAGCUAAUAUAUACGAAAAACCUCGACUUCGGAAGGGAUAUAUUUAUUAGAUAAAAAACUAAUACCCUCCGGGGCUUCCUAGUAAUUUAUAAUAACUUAACGAAUCGUAUAGCCUUACGCCGGCGAUAGUUUAUUCAAAUUUCUACCCUAUAAACUUUCGAUUGUAGAGUAGUAGUCUAUAAUAGUUUCAACGGGUAACGGGGAAUUAGGGUUCGACUCCGGAGAGGGAGCCUAAGAAAUAGCUACUAUAUCUAAGAAAGGUAGUAGGCGCGCAAAUUACCCAGUCCCGAUACGGGGAGGUAGUAAUAAUAAAUACUAAUAUAGGGCUCUUUUAGGUCUUAUAAUUAGAAUAAGUACAAUUUAAAUCCCUUAACGAGGAAUAACUAGAGGGUAAGUCUAGUACUAGUAGCCGCGGUAAUUCCAGCUCUAGAAGCGUAUAUUAAAGUUAUUAUAGUUAAAAAGCUCGUAGUUGAAUUUUAGGCCUAGCUAGCCGGUCCGCCUUACUACGUAUACUAGUCCGGCCGAGCCUUUUCUCCUAGGGAUCCGCAUGCCCUUUACUAGGUAUAUUGGGGAACUAGGACUUUUACUUUGAAAAAAUUAGAGUAUUCAAAGUAGGCCUUUACUCGAAUAUAUUAGUAUAGAAUAAUAGAAUAGGACGGCUUUCCUAUUUUAUUAGUUUCUAGGGAAGCCGUAAUAAUUAAUAGGGAUAGUCGGGGGUAUUAGUAUUCAAUUAUUAGAGGUGAAAUUCUUGGAUUUAUUAAAGACUAACUACUACGAAAGUAUUUGCCAAGGAUAUUUUCAUUAAUUAGUAAACGAAAGUUAGGGGAUCGAAGACGAUUAGAUACUAUUAUAGUCUUAACUAUAAACUAUACCGACUAGGGAUCGGGCGAUAUUACUAUCUUAACUCGCUCGGUACCUUACGAGAAAUUAAAGUUUUUAGGUUCUAGGGGGAGUAUAGUCGCAAGGCUAAAACUUAAAGAAAUUAACGGAAGAGUACUACUAGGAGUU